AACGAACGCUGGCGGCAGGCUUAACACAUGCAAGUCGAACGGUUGCAGCAAUGCAGCAGUGGCAGACGGGUGAGUAACACGUGGGAACCUUCCUAGGGGUACGGAACAACUCAGGGAUACUUGAGCUAAUACCGUAUACGUCCGUGAGGAGAAAGAUUUAUCGCCCUUAGACGGGCCCGCGUCGGAUUAGCUAGUUGGUGGGGUAACGGCCUACCAAGGCGACGAUCCGUAGCUGAUCUUAGAGGAUGAUCAGCCACACUGGGACUGAGACACGGCCCAGACUCCUACGGGAGGCAGCAGUGGGGAAGCUUGGACAAUGGGCGCAAGCCUGAUCCAGCCAUGCCGCGUGAGUGAAGAAGGUCUUCGGAUUGUAAAGCUCUUUUGCCAGGGACGAUAAUGACGGUACCUGGAGAAUAAGCCCCGGCAAACUUCGUGCCAGCCGCCGCGGUAA
rnacentral:rRNA from 1 species